UCCCCUGUGGCUCAGUUGGUAGAGCAUGGUGUGUGCAACGCCAGGGUUGUGGGUUUGAUUCCCAUGGGGGGCC
rfam:Salmo salar isolate Sally breed double haploid chromosome ssa28, whole genome shotgun sequence.